ensembl:lncRNA
GGAGCCAGUCUUUGUAGAUGUCCAUGGUCAUUGGGAAAGUCCAGCUAAACUGAUGUUUUCUCUGCUUGACAUGGUAUGUACUGGAAAAUUAAUGUCUACUACAUAGGAAAUUUAAAAGAGAGAAAAAAAAAAGAAGAGAGUUGAUUACAUUACUAGAGUCAGAAGUUGGGCUCAUUGUAAGUAUAAGGGAAUAAUGCAUAUUCAAAAUUUGCUCUCCAUUGGCUUUGGCUGCAUCUUAUCCUCAACGGCCUGGCCCCAGCUCACCCUGGUGGUUCUUCACAGCAGGUGCCUCAGUACCUGUGAAGGUGAGAAAAUCAACUCAGGACAAGUUAUGGAGCAUCUACUAAAUAUCAAAAUUUAGGUUAGAUCAGGAGAACUCAAGACAAAUAAGGUGGAGGCUCUUGAAAGUUACAAUCCAAGCAGAGGCAGAUACAUAAGACAAUAGUUACGAUAAAGUGCGGUAAAUGCAUUUUUCUGUAUUUGCACAGAGCAGUGCAUCUGAGGGCCAGUGGGAAAGGAUGCCCCAAAGUUUCUGGAGGCAGAACAGUGGGGAAAUUAUUAAGGAAACUAUCUGGGGAGCUGUGGCUGUUAAGGGAGCCCUCUGUCAUUCUGAUCUCAAGUCCCUGUGACUCCUCAAUGAAUGAAUAACAAUAAGGCCCCAUUAACACCAAUAUCCCAUUUCUAUUGGCUCAAUGGCUCCCCUGAAACUUUUCAGUUUGUUAGUCCUAACAGACACAGCCCCUGGUCAUUUCAGGCCUCCCUGGAGCCUGCCUUACAGGUGUUUCCAAGGCUAUCCAUCUCACUUGUCCUGUGAGGCUUCUGGACUCCUGUUGUUCAUCAACGGCUCCUCUAAGAAGGGGGUGCUUCUCUCAACACACUUGCCCUUGACCAUGAGACUGCAGACAGGCUGCCACUGUUCCAGUCAUCACAGCCCCAUUAAGGUGGGAAGUCCAAAUGUGUUACAUAAAGAGCUGACACUGGCCACACUCUAUUCUAUCAAGAAAGCCAACAAUUUCACAAAAGCUCCCCAUCUCCCCCCACUGCCUUAAGCAAACCCCCAUUUCAAUCUCAUCACCUAGAACCUGGCCACAAACCACUCACAGAAGUAAAGGAAGCUGGAAAAAUAGACAAUAGGAACUUCCGAGUCAUUAGGAUUCAUCACCUGGGGCUAGGUCAGCAACUCCCCAAUUACAGGCUGUAUUCUGAUGAUAACAAAAAUAAGGAAGAUAAAUUGCUUUAAAAAUGUUUCCCUUUGAGAAUAAGUAAAGGCUCCCCAUGAGUUUACCCCUCUAGACAGAUACCAGACUCUAAGACUCUCAGCACAGUGACACUCAAUUUGCACUUACUCAGCAAUUCCGCAUCAUUAGAGGAUCUCAUUAUACAUUUGACUCCCCCACACCACUCCCCCUAUUUGUUGGGUAAUUCGGAGCUUUAAAACCAAUGGACACAGAGACAAAAAAUAAAUGUAUGAAUACAUGUGCUUCCAUGUGCUUUAAUUUAGAUACAUUUCUUUAUGGGUAGGGUAGCAGUAAUUCGGUAGUGUCCUAUCACUGGACAGAAUGUGCAUAAAUAAGUUUUAGUAGGAAACAUGAUUUACACCGAAGUUACCUUUUCUUUUCUUAUUGUUCUGAGGAAAUGUGUGUGUGUUUGCAAGAUCCAAGCAGAUGUUUUGAAAAAGAAGAGUGAAAGCAUUAUAGUAGUGGAUGCCUUUGUGAACAUUUAAAUGUGUUGGCACAUGGCUUUUAUUACCUAGAGAGCCACUUAAAAGCUUAUGGAAAAAUCAAACAUAUGUUGUUAUAGCUGUCAUGUCAGCUUCAGAAGCAGUUAUCAUAGCUUCCUACGUAUUUGUUUUGAAUUACAGGUAGGAAAAUGAAUUCCCUUUCUCUUAUUACUGUGUUUGAGUCAUAGAUUCUAGGGACAAAUAUGAAAUAAGAGAAAAAUAAGACCUGAGUUUUAGAGCUUUGCAUCAAUUUUAUUCAGAUUCAUAUUGAAAAUUUUUCAAAAAAUAACUGAAUAUAUAUAUUUGUGCUUUUACGCAUUAUUCACACCGAGCAAUAUUUUAGCUGGUGAUGACUAUAAAAUUACAACUAAUUAUAUAAGAAAGUCAUAUACUAUUUAUGAAACACAUUUGCAUUAACUACUAACCAUGGAAGUGAAGUUUAUUGUCCCAAACAGAAUGUGACAAAAACAGUGUGGCAGUAAAAUAACUGGAAGUUAAUACACUUAAGUACUAUGAUAAACCAAUGCAAUUAGAAAAAACAAUCGGCCUGCUUUCCCAAAGCUGGUGAGGCUACAGUAAAACUGACGUGUCUCUACAUGUAUGUAAUCUGGAAUGUACUUUGACAUUAUGGAUCAGUAAUCUCUGUAAGUGUUGGCAUAAUUUGACUUUUUAACAUUAUGGAUGAAAACAAAUCCUAAAAAUUAAAUCUGAAAGAAAACAAAACUCAGGCCUAUAAACUAGAUAGAUAGAUAAGUCAAUACACAUGUACAUUUAUAAGGGCCAAAUGGUAAAAAUAAAUGAAAUAAAUAUUUGAGAGCAGGAAAAAAAAAACCACAUGAUUUAAAAUAAAAUCGGAGAAAUACGAUACAGCCAUUAAAACUGUUAAAGACCCAAUAACAAUGUAAUGGUUAAGAGGCACUGUAAAAUUUAGCACCGAUUUAUGCUACCAGCGCAAUGGGAAAACCAUCACAUGACAUGGGAAUAGACCAAAAGGGAUACUAGAGACUUGCUCAUCUUACUUAAAAGUAGCAGAUUAUGGACAUUUUUAUCUCCUUUUUAGUGUUUCACUGGUUUGCUGUGAAGUUUUAAGAAUAAAAGUGAGAAAAUAAAAUGUAGCAAAUCAAUUAAGAAGAGCAAAAUUAUGAUCUUUCUGAUUACUAAAUCUACUUACAACAACUGAAAAUUCGGUUUCUUUGAAACAAGUGACAAUGGAGGGUCCUUCUCUGUACAUAUCAGAAUUGCUGGUGGGGAUUUACAGAUCUGCAGAGAGAUGUGGCCCUAAGUUACAAUGACUUACCCUGUGACAUUUCAAUUGCACAAGGCUUUUUUAACAGUCUCAGUAAUUUUUCAGUUCUAAUUUUUAUGCCAUGAUGGGAGCUCCCAAUUUAGUCAAUAUUUAUACUUGGUCAAUAUUUCAUGUAAGAGAAAUUAAUCUUGGAGGACUAGAAUGUUUAUAAAAUAGUCUUACUGACUCCAAUCCUUCCAACUCCAAUAUACACCAGAUGACAUAAUUCAUUUUGUCAUUUUCCCACGUAUAGGUGCACACGCACAUGCACGCACACACCCUUGUCACACAGAGCCAGCUCUGCCUUCUCUUCCUGGUUCUAAGUGUCCUCUACGACUUGACCUUGUUAUUGCCUUUAUAUCAUUUUCCCACAAUAUUCUCUAAAAUGUGACUGAUUUUUGGUAUAGAGAUAGUGUUACUGCAUUUGGAGUGGAUAAGCAAUGGGAUCCUGCUGUAUAGCACAGGGAACUAUAUCUAGUCACUUAUGAUGGAAUGUGAUAGAGGAUAAUGUGAGAAAAAGAAUGUAUACAUAUGUGUGUGUGACUGGGUCACUUUGCUGUACAGUAGAAACUGACAGAACACUGUAAACCAACCAUAAUGGAAAAAAUAAAAA